rnacentral:rRNA from 1 species
AGCGAACGCUGGCGGCAGGCCUAACACAUGCAAGUCGAACGCCCAGCAAUGGGAGUGGCAGACGGGAUAGUAACACGUGGGAACGCGCCCUUCGGUUCGGAAUAACUCAGGGAAACUUGAGCUAAUACCGGAUACGCCCUUACGGGGAAAGAUUUAUUGCCGAAGGAACGGCCCGCGUCGGAUUAGCUAGUUGGUGAGGUAAUGGCUCACCAAGGCGACGAUCCGUAGCUGGUCUGAGAGGAUGACCAGCAUCACUGGGACUGAGACACGGCCCAGACUCCUACGGGAGGCAGCAGUGGGGAAUAUUGGACAAUGGGCGCAAGCCUGAUCCAGCCAUGCCGCGUGGAUGAUGAAGGCCCUAGGGUUGUAAAGUCCUUUUAACGGGGAAGAUAAUGACGGUACCCGUAGAAUAAGCCCCGGCUAACUUCGUGCCAGCAGCCGCGGUAAUACGAAGGGGGCUAGCGUUGCUCGGAAUUACUGGGCGUAAAGCGCACGUAGGCGGGUCGAUAAGUCGGGGGUGAAAUCCUGGAGCUCAACUCCAGAACUGCCUUCGAAACUGUCGAUCUUGAGUUCGGGAGAGGUGAGUGGAACUGCGAGUGUAGAGG